rnacentral:rRNA from 1 species
UACGCAGGGGGCUAGCGUUGUUCGGAUUCACUGGGCGUAAAGCGCGCGUAGGCGGGUUUUUAAGUCAGGGGUGAAAUCCCAAGGCUCAACCUUGGAACUGCCUUUGAUACUGGAAAUCUUGAGUCCGGGAGAGGUGAGUGGAACUGCGAGUGUAGAGGUGAAAUUCGUAGAUAUUCGCAAGAACACCAGUGGCGAAGGCGGCUCACUGGCCCGGUACUGACGCUGAGGUGCGAAAGCGUGGGGAGCAAACAGG